UAACGUAGGAUGAUGUAGUUAGGCCGGGUAACAAAUAAUUUAAAAGAUUUAUGAAAAGGAGUGAGAGUUACGGACGCAGAAGAUCGUGAAGGGCAGAAGCAGCGAAAGUUCUAAACGGCUUUUAGCAAUCAAUUCCUCAAUAAAUUAGAAAUCACUCUUGAAAUAAUUAUUGAUCCUAUAGUAUGAAGAUCAGAAAAAAAUAAAAACAACGAUUUAAUAUUGUAGUAUACGUAUAAUAGGUACAUAGUUUUGUAUAAUCGUUAGAUUUUAGAAUUGAAUUG